rnacentral:tRNA from 1 species
GGAGAGGUGUCCGAGUGGUUGAAGGAGCACGCCUGGAAAGCGUGUAUACGGGGUAACCCGUAUCAGGGGUUCGAAUCCCCUUCUCUCCG